AAGUGAUUCAGGAAAACAAGGAAAUGAGACACAAGUGGCAACAUUUGUCAAAGUUCUAUGCAUUUGUUCCUUUGGAUUCAAGUGAAACAUCUGGAGUCAAUUCUUAACCCAAUGUUGGUUUGUUGUCACCAACCUCUUUGCCCUGCUAUUGGACACAGUAAGAACCUUGUCAUCUGUAAAGCUGUAAGAGGACCCUUACCAAGAAAAUAACAAUGCUGGCACAGUUCU